AUUGAACGCUGGCGGCAUGCUUUACACAUGCAAGUCGAACGGCAGCACGGGCUUCGGCCUGGUGGCGAGUGGCGAACGGGGGAGUAAUAUAUAGGAACGUACCCAGAAGUGGGGGAUAACGUAGCGAAAGUUACGCUAAUACCUCAUACGAUCUAUGGAUGAAAGCAGGGGACCGCAAGGCCCUGUGCUCCUGGAGCGGGGGAUAUCUGAUUAGCUAGUUGGUGAGGUAAAGGCUCACCAAGGCGACGAUCAGUAGCUGGUCUGAGAGGACGACCAGCCACACUGGAACUGAGACACAGUCCAGACUCCUACGGGACGCAACAGUGCAGCAUUUUGAACAAUGGCCACAAGCCUUAUCCACCAAUGCCACGUGAGUGAAGAAGGCCUUCUGGUUGUAAAGCUCUUUUGUCAGGGAAUAAACGGUCAAGGCUAAUAUCCUUUGCUAAUAACGGUACCUGAACAAUAAGCACCGGCUAACUACGUG
rnacentral:rRNA from 1 species